ensembl:lncRNA
CGGCCAAAGGCGUGGCCCCGCGCCCCCUGAGGAAACAAGCGCCUAAGUGGUCGCACGGGCAAAUAGCCGGUUCCUAGCGCCCUAACCAGCCUCCCAGGCCGAGCGACCCAAACAGUGCAGGCCUUAUCUAGGCCUCGGGCCCCGGAAGGCAGCCGAGAAGGGACAAAACGUCUCGCCUCAGUGUCGAAGGCCCGUAUUCCAACAACCGCGGGCCCCAAGCGUCGAGGUCUGGAGUCCGUGCGGCCUAAGGCAAACAGGCCAGCGUCCAAGCCCAAGAUGCCCAUCCCCAGCUGGGAGCUGUUUAUUUAUGGCUGCAAAUGUGUGCGUGCGAGAGAGAGGGAGAAUUGAUCUUUGCCUGGACUUAAAGAUGGAGCCGAAGGCGCUGGAGGGAAUUUGGGUUUACGCGCCUAGCUCAGACCGGGGCGCUGAAGGGGGCCGUUUGGCACGAAGCCCGAGGUCGCUCUUUUCCGCACCCCUCACCUCGCGACCUUUCAGGAAUCUGAGGGGUCCUGAAGCGGCCUGGCUGACCCACCUCCCCGGGGCCGAGCUUCGAGAAAGGCUUCAUGGAGGGAGCCAUCCCGUCCCUGUCUUUAAAAUGAGCGCAAUAAAAGGGGGCAAAUCCUCAAACGUGAACCUGAUCACUUGUCACAGAAGCAACUUGCCAUGAAAUCCGCUAAUGCGCCGCGACUCGCCCACCCGGGCUGGUUCCCGCUUUCUAAAUCUCCCAGGUGGCUUGUUGUCUCUGCAAAUCCAACACAAACGUACUCAGGAUUAUCUCAGGCCACUGUCCUUGCAGCACUGACCAUUAUCUCGAUGGAAGAACGAGCUCCUCUGGUCAGAGAGCAUAAAGCGGCGGCUAAAUUCGUGUCUUUCCCCACCCACCCACCGCACCCUUUAAUGAUAGAUAACCCCCGCAGUGGUGUAACCAGCGCGCGCGCCCAAAGCCGUCUUGUCCCUCGAAUGCGCUCACCGCCGGCAACACUUGGAGAAUCCAGCCCACAGUGGUUUCGAAAACCCCAUUUUCCUGAUUGCAGCUCAGACUGUGGAACCCCGAGAGCCUCCCCAAAGAGGGAGCGUGAAUCGGGCCAAGUAGUGGGUCGGGGACACACACGCACGCACGCACGCAUAUGCACACAGAGGCAGAGCAGUGCUUCAUAGGACCUAAGAUCCAGGGUGGCUGGAAAGGGAUCUGGGAGGCCACGUCUGAAGGAGCCAGCAAGGCCCUGGUGCUGCCUCUGCCAGAGUCGUGCAGCCACUGAAGCAGCCUGAUCCUGAUAGUUAUUUUGGGGGGAAAAACACCUGGAACCCAGGUUUGAGCUAAAGAAAGUAAGGGCAAGUGACAGAUGAUCAAGCAUUUCUUUGAAAUGAGGAAGAACUGAGAACUACCCAGCUGGCCUGGCCUUAGGGCAAACUGGACCUUAGGAAACUACUCUCUUCGCACACACAGCAGCACACAUCCUCCGAUGGCAAGUUCACCGGUGCCCAGCAAGGGCCACUGCACCUCCUAACUGCUUUUUCAGCCUCCUCCAGGUUUUGCCAGGCAAAUGAAACAAGAACUCAAUAGUAAAUUAUUUUGUUCAGACUUCUGUCUUUUUAUGAAAAUAAAAGGCAACACUUUGUCAUUUUUAAUCAUAUAAGCAGACAAUAAACCUAAUCUUGAUAUUGAUUUUUCCAGAAUCAAGUGAUUUUGUGCAGUGUCUGUUUUAUUUCCUUUCUGAGGAAGAGCUGUUUGUUGGUAGAUGGUGUGGCUCUAAGACUGCACUCCAGUGGGCAGGUGCUUAUCUGAAACAUG